rnacentral:rRNA from 1 species
AGCCUGCAACUCGGCUGCAUGAAGCUGGAAUCGCUAGUAAUCGCGGAUCAGAAUGCCGCGGUGAAUACGUUCCCGGGUCUUGUACACACCGCCCGUCACACCAUGGGAGUUGGAAAUGCCCGAAGUCAGUGGCCCAACCUACGGGAGGGAGCUGCCGAAGGCAGGUUCGAUGACUGGGGUGAAGUCGUAACAAGGUAGC